ACAGUAAUGCCAUGACAACGCCAUAGAAACUGUAUGUGUGUGACGUCAUUAGAGACUGAGUCUGGACUCUAAAAGGUUUAUAAACACGGGCCCAGGUCAGGAUUCCUUACACGUUGAUUCGUAACGGAUAAAUAAUUGACGUCGAGCCCUUGCAACAAAAUAACCUGGUUGUUGUUGUUUGUUUGUUUUUUAAAACCAUAUUUAAAAAAAAAAUCCCGAAAAUAUCUACAGACCUUUAAAUAAUUUUGUCGAGUAUAUUAUAUAAUUUGAAAACAAACUAAACAAAAAGUCUCUACUGGCACUUAAUUAAUGUUGUUAAGUAUAUUUUAGGUUACGUACGACCUUGCAAUUGCUCGUAUUCGAAACAAAACAGUACAUAGCUCAAAUAUUAGCGUCUGAGAUUUUAUACAGUGAUUUGGUCUUAAGUGACUUUUUCUAUCGGUAUCGUUUUGAACAUAAAAAUGUCACAAAAUGACGCAAAUAUGUUAAAACGUAUGUUCAAAGUGUGUCGAGUUAAAAUACAUAGGCCUAUAUAGAGUACUACAAAUGGUUCAAGUGCAGAUACAUAGGCCUAUAUAGAGAGUUUUACAAGUUGUUCAAGUGCACACGCAUAGGUCUAUAUAUAUAGAGUAUUAAAUGUGCUUCAAGUGCAGAUACGUAGGUCUGUAUAGAAAAUUACAAAUGCGUCAAGUGCAAAUACAUAGGCCUAUACAGAUUAUUCAAAGUGCGUCAAGUGCAAAUACAUAGGUCUAUACAGAGUAUUACAAGUGCAAAUACAUGGGUCUAUAUAGAGAAGACAAUUUGUCUAUACUGAAUGUACAGAUGCAUUUUCAUCAAUGACUUUCCGUGUGUUUGACGUGUGCCAUUAUUUAUUCACUUCGCCAUUGAGUAUGAAUGCUAAAUCGUGUAUUUUGUUACUGAAUAAAAAUGUGCUGACCAAGAGUCCUUAAAAA